CAACGCUUCACCACAUACAAGUGCAGAGCUGCAGGCUCUCCUGACAGUCUCCAUCAAGUCCAGAGUGACCCAGCUGCUGGACAGCAGUGGACCAAUCUCGAGGGGCCAUGACGACCAGCAUCCCGUGGUGACACAGGAUGAGUCAGGCCCUGCCGCCUCACGGGAUCAGCAGCCAGGCACAGCCCCCCGACACAUCUCCUGGGCACCAGUGCUUGUCCAGACACUGCAGCCCCGCCGGGCAUCAACAGCCCCCACCCAGGACUCAGCGCCCAGUGCUCCAUCUGCCACACCUUCUCAGA